GCCAGAGCCAUAUCUCCCUGCAGUUGUCACCUGAUUUCCCACUGAAACUAAGCAGGGCUGAUCCUGGCCAUUAACUGGAUGGGAGAUCUCAUGGUGAAAACUAAGGUUGCUGCUGGAA
rnacentral:rRNA from 1 species